rnacentral:rRNA from 1 species
AUACGUAGGUGGCAAGCGUUAUCCGGAUUUAUUGGGCGUAAAGCGCGCGCAGGCGGGAAGGUAAGUUGGAUGUUUAAUCUACGGGCUCAACCCGUAUCAGCAUUCAAAACUAUUUUUCUUGAGUAGUGCAGAGGUAGGCGGAAUUCCCGGUGUAGCGGUGGAAUGCGUAGAUAUCGGGAGGAACACCAGUGGCGAAGGCGGCCUACUGGGCACUAACUGACGCUGAGGCUCGAAAGCAUGGGUAGCAAACAGGAUUAGAUACCCUGGUAGUCCAUGCCGUAAACGAUGAUUACUAGGUGUGGGAGGAUUGACCCCUUCCGUGCCGCAGUUAACACAAUAAGUAAUCCACCUGGGGAGUACGACCGCAAGGUUGAA